rnacentral:rRNA from 1 species
UACGGAGGAUGCGAGCGUUAUCCGGAUUUAUUGGGCGUAAAGCGAGCGCAGGUGGUUUAUUAAGUCUGGCGUAAAAGGCAGUGGCUCAACCAUUGUAUGCAUUGGAAACUGGUAGACUUGAGUGCAGGAGAGGAGAGUGGAAUUCCAUGUGUAGCGGUGAAAUGCGUAGAUAUAUGGAGGAACACCGGUGGCGAAAGCGGCUCUCUGGCCUGUAACUGACACUGAGGCUCGAAAGCGUGGGGAGCAAACAGG